GGCCAGUUAAGUAAGAGAAUCAGAUGGCCUAAAUAUGUCAGUCCGAGUAAUUUUAUCUCAUCAAAGGUUAAGCUGGAAUAGAAUGGUCUCUACAAUUGAAGAUGGCCAAAUCUAGUAAGAGCCAACAAUGACAAGGAUGGAGGCUGGUGCACUAUCCAGCCUCCACGAGUCAGAUCGCUUUAUUGAGAACAAGGUAGGUUGCAAAAGUGGGAGUCUUCAGAGUCACUUGCCAUUUAG
rnacentral:lncRNA from 1 species